UCAUAUAUCUUCCGUCGGAGCAAUUAUUUUUCAACCCUGUAGAAAAAGCGGGCUCAAUUAAUCGCGCGGAACGUUAUUUAUCUACUCUGUACAAAUAGUAGUGUUUAAAAUCGCGCGGAGAUUGUAGAAUGCUAUUUUAAGAAGUCUAUUAAAGAGAGAAAAUCCAGUAAAUACCAGAUCCAAAAAGCGCGGAACACAAAUAUCGUCCGCGAAAAUUAAGCAUUGAAUUACUGUACAAAUCUCGGGUUGUUAGGUGUUAGAAUCCCUAGUUACCCGAAAAAUUUGAUUGGAUCCGAUACUUAGAAAUAACCAAUCAGAUACUUUGUAACAAAUGCAACACAAUCAGUGCGUUCAGUAAGUAUAACGUUUCAAGAUGGCGGAGCGAAUUGCAUGGUUAUUGUUUCUACUCGAUGGAUUCGCAGAUAAUUCAGAAAUAGAUCAGAUUGGGAUCAAUAACUGUAUUGCAUACGAUCAUUUACAUGUAUUACCAGGUGUGUGUUGCCAGUAAUGGUUGAAGAUAUGCCAAACAAAUUGUGCCUCUCUAUACAGACAGAUUUCAGGUCUCAAUUUCGACUUCAAAGGUCAACAUAUCACUGAUAUCAGGAAUUCUGUACAACUGUGGAACCAUGUAUGGUACGUGACCGCACAAUGUUGGUUGGCAAAAGGAUAUUGGAAUAAGCAAAGGGACUCAACAUUACACAGUCAUUUCAACAUGUAGAGUCUUGUCAGCAAUGAUGGAGCAGUACUUCAGAUUUCCAGAAUCUCGUCAUGAGCUGAAGAUCAUUGCCUAUGAAUUUCAUGAAUGAUGUAGAAUGAUUGGACUGUUGAUGGAACCCACAGUGCAUGUCCUGCUUCAACAUCUGAGCAUAGGUCCUUUAUGGCACGCCUGAACCACAAAAAAGAGAAAAACUAAGUUUAAGUAACUUAAACUUAGUUUUUCACUACUUAAACUCAAUUUAAGUAACUUAAUUCGAAUUAACGCUACUAAAUGCAUUAAGUAGUUAAGAAGAGUUAUUUUCUAUUUAUGUGAGAAAAAUGAAUUAAGCAGAGAAAAACUUAGUUUAACUCGUUAAGUGCGCCCGAACAACAAAAAUUGAUUUUAAUUACCGUUAAGUUACUUAAAUUGCAUUUAACGCUGCUUAAAAUUAAUUUAAGUGCUUUCGCAUCGUUAAUUGUAUUUAAUUAUUACUUAAGUAAUACAAUUUUUACUUAAGUUGAAUUAUUAAUUAUCGUUAAGUCAAAACUCGCGUCCGAAAAUAAGCAUAUGAAACAAGCGUUUUGAUUGGUUGUCAGGUUUGUUAAUAAAUUCAGGCCCGAGGUCGGAAGAAAAAGAUUGCCAUGUGGUACGAGCAAAAAAUACAGAUAUUAUAAAUUUGGAUUAGAAUCUUAAGUCAGCUAAAAUUUGUUUUAGUCUGGAAUAACAUUCAAAACACCCUUUCAUCAUCAAAUUUUGCUGACAGUCAGUAACUAUGCAAUAAACAUCAAAAACGAUCCGCCCGUCUAUAUAUUUCCGGGUCAUAUCGCAUUUACCUGUAGUAAUAACUUGUCUUGUAUACGAGUAGUCAUACCAGCUUGUAUGUAGAAACUGGGACUAUAUUAUAUGUCCCAGGUAGAAAUUAAAGAUUAUAUCGUGUCACCGAAUCCAACUUAAUUAUAUUCUAUACAUGUAAAUUUUGGCUUUGAUUUUAGUAUUUAAAUGGAAAAAAAACAGUCUCCAGUAUCUCAGUAUUGGCAGUGAACUUAUAAGUAAACAAUCCCAAAAAGUACACAUAUCAGAAAUUACCCAGGUGAUAUUUUAAGUCUGAGUGCACUAUUGUCUUUUAAAAUAAUUUUAAAUGUAAAAAAAUGUACUGUUAACAUAUUAUUUAGAAACAUAUCUAACUUAAGUGUUCUGAUUUUUCCCCUUUAGAAAUAAAUAGUUUAGACAGAGACAUAUAUUCAGUAUAUAUUCCCAGUUUAGAUAUUAAUUAAAAGAACUAAUGUAUGCAUUUGUUAAAUGUCAUUCGUUCUUCCGAAAUAUUAUCCUAUAUUGUUUGAUGAGAUUCAAAAUAAACCUAAUUAAGAAUUUAAUUGUUGUUUUAGUGCAGCAGUUAACAAUUUAUAUUUUUUUAUGAGUGUGUAAAUAUUGCAAUGGUAACAAACGAAUCCAUAAUACAGUAUUAAAAAUGUCAUGAGGAUCAGUGAUUGCUCGUUAAUUGUCUUUCAUAUCCUGUAUUUGUUAUUUCAGUUCCCUUUUUAAAAACAACCAACAUUUUGUUGUUGUUUUAACAGUAUUGGUAAUUGUCUAGUUAAUUGAAGGGUACCCCUUGAUUACACAUGGGUUGUUUUCUUAAAAAGAAGGCCAUAUGACAUUCCACAAGCUAAGUCAUAGUAUGGCUUCAUCUUUUUCUUAUAAAUAAACCACCACUCAAUUGCUUGAUCAUAAUUAUCCUGAAUUCAAGAUGUCAGUUGGUAAGUAGCAAUUUUAUUUUUUGGGUGUUUUAGUUUUGUCAAAAUUUAGUCAAUAACAUCACUUAAGCCAUAACGCUUCGAUAAAAUGAUUAAACAGAUAUAUAUUAUGUUAGUAUGCAAGUGGAAAGAUAUUAUAUGGGAUCAGUUACAUAGAGACCACACUCCAUCCAAGAGAAAAACAGGGAAUUUCAAAAAAUAGUGGUCUCCACAAGUCAUCCAACAAGUCCUUGUGUGAAAAAAACAGCUAAAAGAUGCUGUAAUAUGGUUAUGGGUUAACACUGCUUGUAAUUUUCCUGCAUGAGAGCUUUUGAUAAUCAUAGUCACAUGUUGUUGUUUUUUUUGUAAUGGAAUCCUAAAGGAAUCCUUUGAAUGAAAAUAGAAUCUUGAUCAAAAUUGCUUUUAUACAGUGAGUUUCAUGACCUUUAAUAGUUGCCAACAAUGUUGAAGAAACUUAUUCAAAUAUUAAUGACUUUGAAGUUUCUGACAAUCCCUUUAAUGAAAUAAAAUUA